AUUAAAAAUACUUGCGGUUGUAGAAUGAGCUCGGUAGCGUUAGGGGAUCCCCGUGGGGAAGAGGGGAGCCGCCCUCCCAAGGCCCCGCUACCCGUAGUAGUCCAAUUGCUCACUGGGAUGAGGAGCGUGAGGAAUAUUUUGCAGCAAAAAUGCCAGCGGUCUUCUGAAGUCACUGUUCGUUCAUGGUGUGCGUUGGUUUGGGAGCGUGGAGAUCAGUACAUAUU